GCGAGAACAAGGGAGGGACCUACGCACACGGCAACCUGGGCAGGGUGGUCCAGCACGUCUGUGAUCCUGACUGACGCACUGCCCUGGGAAGCUGCCUGCCUCAGCCCCUUGGCUGUGGCACCUAGGCAUCUCAUCACCGUCGCGUCUCUGGAGUGGCCUUCUCUCCACUGAGGGCAGAACAUGCCGUCCAUCUAUAGGAAGAGACCUCAGCAAAUUGGUGUCUUGGAUCUAAUCUAAUUCUGGGGCCAGACAUCCAGUGCAAGUCAAAGGAAACAACAUAAAGACACGUCUUGGAAGCAAUGUGAUCUUAGAGUCUAUUAAAUAUGACGAUUCCUGAUGUUCCCCUUUCAAAUAGUAACUGUGUGUAAAUCAAGAUAUAUCAGUUAACAUUAUUAGGCUAUUUCUGAAUAUAUCUUGUCAAACCUAAAGGAAAGCACUAAUAAGAACUUACCUCAUU